GACGAACGCUGGCGGCGUGCUUAACACAUGCAAGUCGAACGGAAAGGCCUCUUUCGGGGGGUACUCGAGUGGCGAACGGGUGAGUAACACGUGAGUAACCUGCCCUUGACUUUGGGAUAACUUCAGGAAACUGGGGCUAAUACCGGAUAGGAGCUCCUGCUGCAUGGUGGGGGUUGGAAAGUUUCGGCGGUUGGGGAUGGACUCGCGGCUUAUCAGCUUGUUGGUGGGGUAGUGGCUUACCAAGGCUUUGACGGGUAGCCGGCCUGAGAGGGUGACCGGCCACAUUGGGACUGAGAUACGGCCCAGACUCCUACGGGGGGCAGCAGGGGGGAAUAUUGCAAAAGGGGUGGAAGCCUGAUGCAGCAACGCCGUGUGCGGGAUGACGGCCUUCGGGUUGUAAACCGCUUUCGCUCAUGACGAAGCUUUGGGUGACGGUAGUGGGAAAAGAAGCACCGGCUAACUACGU
rnacentral:rRNA from 1 species